rnacentral:rRNA from 1 species
AACGUAACGCUGGCGGCAUGCCUAACACAUGCAAGUCGAACGAAGCCUUCGGGCUUAGUGGCGCACGGGUGCGUAACGCGUGGGAAUCUGCCCUUGGGUUCGGAAUAAACAGUUAGAAAUGACUGCUAAUACCGAAUGAUGUCUUCGGACCAAAGAUUUAUCGCCCAAGGAUGAGCCCGCGUCGGAUUAGCUAGUUGGUGAGGUAAAGGCUCACCAAGGCGACGAUCCGUAGCUGGUCUGAGAGGAUGAUCAGCCACACUGGGACUGAGACACGGCCCAGACUCCUACGGGAGGCAGCAGUGGGGAAUAUUGGACAAUGGGCGAAAGCCUGAUCCAGCAAUGCCGCGUGAGUGAUGAAGGCCUUAGGGUUGUAAAGCUCUUUUACCCGGGAUGAUAAUGACAGUACC